rnacentral:rRNA from 1 species
UACAUAGGGAGCAAGCGUUAUCCGGAUUUAUUGGGUGUAAAGGGUGCGUAGACGGGAAAUUAAGUUAGUUGUGAAAUCCCUCGGCUUAACUGAGGAACUGCAACUAAAACUGAUUUUCUUGAGUACAGUAGAGGUGGGCGGAAUUCGUGGUGUAGCGGUGAAAUGCUUAGAUAUCACGAAGAACUCCGAUUGCGAAGGCAGCUCACUGGACUGCAACUGACACUGAGGCUCGAAAGUGUGGGUAUCAAACAGG